rnacentral:rRNA from 1 species
GUGCCAGCCGCCGCGGUAAUACGGGGGGAGCAAGCGUUGUUCGGAUUUACUGGGCGUAAAGGGCGCGUAGGCGGCCACCGCAAGUCGACUGUGAAAUCUCCGGGCUUAACUCGGAAAGGUCAGCCGAUACUGCGGGGCUAGAGUGCAGAAGGGGCAACUGGAAUUCUCGGUGUAGCGGUGAAAUGCGUAGAUAUCGAGAGGAACACCUGCGGCGAAGGCGGGUUGCUGGGCUGACACUGACGCUGAUUGUGCGAAAGCUAGGGGAGCGAACGGGAUUAGAAACCCUGGUAGUCC